rnacentral:rRNA from 1 species
AUUGAACGCUGGCGGCAGGCCUAACACAUGCAAGUCGAGCGGAUGAAGGGAGCUUGCUCCUGGAUUCAGCGGCGGACGGGUGAGUAAUGCCUAGGAAUCUGCCUGGUAGUGGGGGAUAACGUCCGGAAACGGGCGCUAAUACCGCAUACGUCCUGAGGGAGAAAGUGGGGGAUCUUCGGACCUCACGCUAUCAGAUGAGCCUAGGUCGGAUUAGCUAGUUGGUGGGGUAAAGGCCUACCAAGGCGACGAUCCGUAACUGGUCUGAGAGGAUGAUCAGUCACACUGGAACUGAGACACGGUCCAGACUCCUACGGGAGGCAGCAGUGGGGAAUAUUGGACAAUGGGCGAAAGCCUGAUCCAGCCAUGCCGCGUGUGUGGAGAAGGUCUUCGGAUUGUAAAGCACUUUAAGUUGGGAGGAAGGGCAGUAAGUUAAGACCUUGCUGUUUUGACGUUACCAACAGAAUAAGCACCGGCUAACUUCGU